rnacentral:rRNA from 1 species
CCUACGGGUCGCACCAGUGGGGAACAUUGCACAGCGGGCGCAAGCCUGAUGCAGCCAUGCCGCGUGUAUAAAGAAGGCCUUCGGGUUGUAAAGUACUUUCAGCGGGGAGGAAGGUGUUGUGGUUAAUAACCGCAGCAAUUGACGUUACCCGCAGAAGAAGCACCGGUUAACUCCGUGCCAGCAGCCGCGGUAAUACGGAGGGUGCAAGCGUUAAUCGGAAUUACUGGGCGUAAAGCGCACGCAGGCGGUCUGUCAAGUCGGAUGUGAAAUCCCCGGGCUCAACCUGGGAACUGCAUUCGAUACUGGCAGGCUAGAGUCUUGUAGAGGGGGGUAGAAUUCCAGGUGUAGCGGUGAAAUGCGUAGAGAUCUGGAGGAAUACCGGUGGCGAAGGCGGCCCCCUGGACAAAGACUGACGCUCAGGUGCGAAAGCGUGGGGAGCAAACAGGAUUAGAUACCCCCGUAGUC